UACGUAGGGUGCAGGCGUUAAUCGGAAUUACUGGGCGUAAAGCGUGCGCAGGCGGUUUUGUAAGCCAGAUGUGAAAUCCCCGGGCUUAACCUGGGAAUGGCAUUUGGGACUGCAAGGCUGGAGUGUGGCAGAGGAGACUGGAAUUCCCGGUGUAGCAGUGAAAUGCGUAGAUAUCGGGAGGAAUACCGAUGGCGAAGGCAGGUCUCUGGGCUGACACUGACGCUCAUGCACGAAAGCGUGGGGAGCAAACAGG
rnacentral:rRNA from 1 species